rnacentral:rRNA from 1 species
AUGGACUGGAUAUAUUGCCUCGCCAUGCCACAUGGUGGCCGAGAUGCGGCAGCCCCAUGCUCUGUUCCGAUGGGCCUCCUAUGCUCGAUGUUGCUGCUGGUUGAGUUUGGUACGGUUUCCUGUUGUCGCUUGCGUCGAGCCUUGGGUCCGUCUCUCCUUCUCAUUGAGCCUACUUCUCCUGUCGCUGGCGCUUCUUCUUCUCGUCGGUCCUGCUGCUUACCCAACCUUUUGCUUGCUGCCUCGGGUUGCACGAUCUCUGAUGUAGCUGCGUCGUUUGACUCAUCAAGAUAUACCACAGAGGGAAGAUCUGCCUCACUGUGCACUUCAGGUGCGCGCACACUAGCGAUGGUACAAGAUUGGCUUCCUGGUGGAAUCAGGUGCGCGUCGUCCAUGGUGGCCUGUCGUGGGUGUUGGUGGGCGGCUGGAGGCGGCUGUAGCAGACUCUAG